rnacentral:rRNA from 1 species
GACAUAGGUGGCGACCGUUAUCCGGAUUUAUUGGGCCUAAAGCAUCCGUAGCCGGUUCUACAAGUCUUCCGUUAAAUCCACCUGCUUAACAGAUGGGCUGCGGAAGAUACUAUGGAGCUAGGAGGCGGGAGAGGCAAGCGGUACUCGAUGGGUAGGGGUAAAAUCCGUUGAUCCAUUGAAGACCACCAGUGGCGAAGGCGGCUUGCCAGAACGCGCUCGACGGUGAGGGAUGAAAGCUGGGGGAGCAAACCGG